CUUCAGGUGCCCUUGAGAGCUUUCAUCCUGAAAAUUAUACUAAAGGAGAUCAACUUUUACCUCCACUUAGCAAAAAUCCCAAUCUUUAGAGCACCAGGAUUGAAGCCCAGCUUUACUCAUUGCCACCCUUCUAAGCACUGUCUUGUGUGCCAUAAAAAACUCCGUAAAGGGUGAUAUACCAGGCGAGUGUGGUGCUGAUUCACCUCUGACACUGAGGAGAGAGAAGAAAGAGUGGCACAAAUGAGAAGGUUUAAUUCAUGUUCCUUUUUCCAAAAUUUUGAUUCAACCUUUUUACUCUGGGGAAAAGUUGCCACAUCUAUUAUGGAAUUUCAGCUGAA